rnacentral:rRNA from 1 species
CCUACGGGAGGCAGCAGUGAGGAAUAUUGGUCAAUGGGCGAGAGCCUGAACCAGCCAAGUCGCGUGAGGGAGUACUGCCCUAUGGGUUGUAAACCUCUUUUGUCGGGGAGCAAAAGCCGGACGUGUCCGGCUGUGAGAGUACCCGAAGAAAAAGCAUCGGCUAACUCCGUGCCAGCAGCCGCGGUAAUACGGAGGAUGCGAGCGUUAUCCGGAUUUAUUGGGUUUAAAGGGUGCGCAGGCGGAUUUUUAAGUCAGCGGUAAAAUCGUGGGGCUCAACCCCAUCCAGCCGUUGAAACUGGGGAUCUAGAGUGUGCGAGAGGUAUGCGGAAGGCGUGGUGUAGCGGUGAAAUGCAUAGAUAUCACGCAGAACCCCGAUUGCGAAGGCAGCAUACCGGUGCACAACUGACGCUCAGGCACGAAAGCGUGGGUAUCGAACAGGAUUAGAUACCCGGGUAGUC